CCCCCCCCCCCAACGGUUAACCUAACUGCAGACUCUAAUUCCUCAGGGGAGGCUGGCUAAACUAGAAGCAGCCCAACUUGCCUCACCUUGGGAUUGCCACCACUCAGGCUUUGCAGGGUCGGGAGUCUCUGGAUUCACACACGCUGUCAAAGUAAAUGGUUUUCCAGACUGUCAGCCACGUUUAAAGGCAGGGAUUCUCUGGGCAAGCAAUAGAUGGAAGGAGCCAACAAGACCCACAAGGCCCUUGACUGUUUCUCUUUUAGCACCGUGAUUGUUGCCUAAAAUUGGGAGCAAUUGGGAGCGUGAAACGACCAUUUAUUUUAUUGCCAUUCCUGUUCAUCAACAAGUAGAGGCCCCAGGUGAGUCUCUGCUUCUGCUCUGGCCUGUGUUCAUUAAGAUGCAGGGAGUCUUGCUUUUGCGAGUCUUUACUGCCCUCUUGUGGUUUAGCUCCUGGAGCAAUUGUACCCUAACAAGGAUCUUUUGCAGAAAUUCGUCUAAGGUUCAAGGGGUAGCCUGUGGCAGUGGAGUCCCAUUGAAUACUGCAAAGUGGCACAAAGAAAGCACCUGGACCAUCUUCCCAGAUGAACCUUUGCAGAAAUGCCCCAAAGCACUAAGAAGAGAGAGAGCCAAGCGCUUGCCAAUGCCACCGAUGGUAAAAUGCUAGAGGGAGUUUUAGAAUCACCAGGUACUUUAACUUAUAGAAAACUGCAAACCCCAAACAAGUAUAGAUCAUUUUGUGUCUUCUGAAUAUUCUAAAACCUCUGCUGCACUCAGACUCUGCAAGUCACAGAACCAAGAAUGGAUCGGAAGAGAGAGGGAGGCGGUGGAGUUGCCAGGGACCCUGGAGUGGGCUGAGAGCCACAGCAUCUACUUUAGAGAAAGAAGCAGACAAUGACCUGCAAAAUGAUGAGAAAUGAUGGUUGUUGUCACAGGAGGGCAGAGUUCAAAUGAAAAAGCCACUCCUGGGGAUGUUCAGCUAGAAUCUGAAUAAGCAUAAGAAGCCAGCUCCUGAAGUAAAUACCCAAGCUGUACAAGCCAGGGUGACCCCGAAGCUUGCUUUCCUUCACGGUUGUUUAGGUUGUGAGAAAGAUGAACAGAGCACCAUCCUAUACCCCACCGCAAAGGGCUCAAAACCUGUGCUUUUACACAGGGGUCUUGGUUUUUCUUUUUAUGAGUCUGUCUCUGAAAUGCUGGAUCCACUUGUUCAACUGCUUGAACAUAAACUUUUUCUAAAAUGUCUCUAAUUGACAAGAGCAAGCGUUUUGAAAGCCGAGCCAACUGCCAUUAAAUUCAGCACACAGCUUUUAUAAUGCUCUGUUUUAGCCCAUGUUCAUGGGACAUUUUAAAACCAUAUGGUUUUAUAAAACCCAGGCAUCUAAUCAUAGCUCCAUGGAACACCUGCUUCCAGGACCGGCUGCAGCUCUCCUGCUCUAUGUUCCUCUCUGGGUUCCAUGGCCAUCAGCUCACAGGGAAGGCGGGGACUUCAAGAGUUGUCACAGACUUCAUUGACACUUAGGGCAUCCUUAAUUUCUGUAAAAUGGACUGAAAUUCUACCUCAUCGUCGUCGUAGAUGAAUGGGAUCUUCCAUUUCUGCUGGCUCAGCCCUGGGAGCUCCUUCGAGAGCAGUGCCCAGCCACAGCCAUUCCCGGUGGCAGGCAGUAUCAGAAGAGAUUCAGGAUGGGUAGAGAGGAAGAGAUGAAGCCUCAGCAGGGAGGCUCCCCAAGAGGUAGACUCAGAGAGGGCCAAGUGGUCCCCAGGGUUCUCCUGCCAGAGUUGGUCUUCAGAGGAAUGGGGGGCGGGGUUCCUGGAGGAGGAUCUUCAAUGUAAGACAGAGGUGUAAAUCUACAUCUUUUUCUCUGGGUGUGUGUGUGUUGGGGGGGGGCACCAGGCUGGUGUAAGAGACUGCUGGGGGUGUCACUUUUCUCUACGGCGCUCUGGGCCUGGGGUCCUAGAAGGCUGUGGAAAGUUGAGGUGCAGACUUGGUUGCAGGCUGCAGCAGAGAGGAGGUAGCUGAAGUGCAAGUAGCUUCAGGGGUAGAGAGCCUCAAACGGGAGAGGAAAGAGGUGCAGGCAUGAGGCUUACCACAUACUAGAUGUCCUGGAGUCCUUUGGAUGUAACCCUUGAAAGUGGGUGGGGACUUUGCACUAGUCGGCCAGAAAGAGCCAAAGGAAUCUUUAUCAAUGUUAUGUUUCUUACAGGGGUAUUCACAGGCUGCUGGGGACUGGAGCAGUGUGGGGUACAGAAAGAUUGCCCCUGAUAAAAAAUGAGACCAUGGUGGCACUCCCUGCCACACCCUCCCUCACCGCAAGCCACCAGCUCUGUGCAAAUGUGGCCACUCGCCUAUGGUCCUUGCUGAGACCAAAGGUCCUGCUUAUUUCUGUGUAGCAUGUCAGCUGAGACACGUACAGCCUCUAGGGGCCAGUCAUGGGUUGGGUGCUGACAAAUCUAUUUUCAUAAAGGUCCACAAGGUGAAGAUUAGUUUGUGGCCAAGCCAGGGCAAAGCCCCUCUGAGGUGUGAGGGAGUGACUGCCCUCCAGUUUUGCUUCAGGGUCAGGGUGCAUUAUCCCGGCACAGGCAACGUUUCCUUUCUCAGGCAGAACAAGCUGGGGUUCUUCUCCUAGGGCUCAUCAUAAAAGGCACAAGAAAUACUCAAGAGCAAACACAAAACUUCCCAGGAGGAAGCUCUGUGGCGCACAGUGAACUGAGUCACCAGACUUCUCUGUCCCAGGUGGGAGAAGCGGAGUGAACCAAGGUCCACUUGCUGCCUGUGUUUGCUGUGGUUUGGGUGUGAAAUGUCCCCGCAGGCUCAUGUGUUUGAACACUGGGUCCCACUGGUGGCCUUGUUUGGGAAUGUUUUAGAACAUUUAUCAGGGAGAACCUUUCUGGAGGACAUGGGUCAGUGGGGAUGGGCAAAGCCCCACUUCCUGUCCAACCUCUGUUUCCAUGGUUCCUCCCCUGAUGCCACCAUGCUACCCCACUACAAUGGACUCUAGUCCCUCAAUAAAACCUCUCUUCUCUUAA